GGCCUGUCAAUCGGAAAGGCCAAGUUCCAUUGCGGGAUCGCCUCGCUCCGCGAGCCGGGCUUGGCUGCUGCUGCCGCGGCGGCUGCGGGGAGCUGGCCGGCUGCUGCUGAUGGAGAAGUGAUGCUGGCUGCCGGGACCCGGGCGGCAGCAGCGGCAGGACCAGGACCAGCCGUGGGAGCCCAGCUGAACCCUCCGUGCCGCCAGCCAGGCGAAGACAGCAAAGCCAGCUGGUUUAUCAAUAUGCAACCAGCAGUUGUUCGAUAUGAGGUGGAGAAGGCGAGAUGAAAAAUGGCACAGAAUGAAGAAUUAUGAAAUUAUGGGCAUGGCACAGCUAAGCAAAGAAGAGCAAUUAAUGAAGAGAGAAAAACGGAACAUUGUCUAAGUCAGCUCCAGGUGCUUGAAGCACAAGAAUCUCAGCUUUCAUGUGACUCAAGUGCACUUUACAACUUCAGAAGCCAGCCAGAAGACAAAUGAAAAAGAACCCACUUAAAACAAAACAACAAAAAAACCCUGAUUUUUAAGCCAGUUUCAUGAUUUCAGGGGCCCUGGCCUAAUGAUUUUUGAAUGCUUGACAUGACUAAGACUGAGACUGCCAAGCAUUUCCUUAAGCUCUGAAGAUCCUGUUGCUUUAUAGGAAUUAUUCCUAUUGGACUCUGCAUUCUUGUUGGAUGCAGUAGGCUACAUGAAGCCUCCCAAAUCUUCCUACAGUUUUCCUACAGCUCCUGUAAGGCAAUGGGUUUUCUGUAGCUGACGUAGUCAGAAUUGCCACUAGUGCAUGCCCACGAACUUGCAGUUCCACUGGGGAGUGACAGGGCUGCCUGAAAACACUGUUUUAAUGGAGAAGUUAGCCUCAUGAUCUCCAGGUGCUCUGGAGGUAAGCAUGCAGCCAGCCACAUGCUUAGAUGAGGCCCAAGUGAUGGGCUAUUUCCUCUUUAAACUGGGCUCUAUUAUAAGAGUGACACAAAGUUCUCAGUUACAUCUCCAAUCAGGAAACCCUAGAUCAUGCAAAAAUGGAACUGGAAACUUGCCUUGGGCCUUGCUUAGAAGUCAUAAGACUUUAAAAUAAUACAUUUGGGGUUCUUUCUAUUUGCCUUCAGAUUUUUCCACCUUUAGGUCACACUGGUCACAAUUUCAAGCUUCACUCCACAGCGAUUAGGGCUGAAACAUACUUCUUUUUUUAAUGAGAAGCUGAGACUAUCAUCUAGUCACAGAACUCAAAUACAUGGGCCUUUAACAAAUACACCAAAUAUUGCAGGACACAAUGAAAUCAUGAGAGUUGGCAGGACUGAUAGGGAGUGGCACAUGGGGCCCAAAGACCUGCUGGCAGUGGGAGAAUGGACUCAUGGUUGCUGGUUUAUCGCUGCUAUUGUGUAGGAGGAAUCAGAUAUUUUCACAUUAGCUUCUCUUGCUCCCGGUUGAAAGGAAUAUAAAGACAAUAAUUGAAUUUAUGAUAGAUGGACCCAAUAACCAAACUGGUCACUUAACAUUGGACGCUGAGGACAAUUCAAGUAAGAUGACGAGCCAAAAGUGAGUACGCAUCCAUCCUGAACCCUCUCUUCUGGCCUUCAAACAACCCCCCAACCUCUCCAGGCUCCUCAUCAAAAGCAAGCUUCCCACUGACCAGGACACACCAAUUCAAAGUCGCCCGAGACUCUGCCAGAACAACACAUGCAAAACCUGCAGACAUCUCUCUGCUACAAUGAUCAACACUUCCCACAACACAACUUUCAAUAUCUAUAGGUCCUACACAUGCCUAUCACAACACAUGGUGCACCUUAUCCAGUGCACUAAAUGCCCCCGGUAACAACUAUGUGGGCAGGGGUGAAAGUAACUUAACGGACUUACCAGUACGCAGGGCGGCCAGGGUC